GAAUAGAUCACUAAACUAAUCUCCAAUGGGGACGUUUAAGGUGGAGUUGGGUGAUAUAGGAGGGGGAGAGAAAUUAAUUUAUAAUUUUAAAUAUUAGUUGUUUAUUGUAUUUCAACGUUAGUUGAACACUUUGUCCACAUAAACACAAUGUAUACAUAUACAUAACUUUUUUUUUUUUUUCACGAGAUGAAUAUUCUGAAAUAGGC